rnacentral:rRNA from 1 species
ACGGGGGGUGCAAGCGUUGUUCGGAAUUAUUGGGCGUAAAGAGCGUGUAGGCGGUUGGACAAGUCAGAUGUGAAAGCCCUGGGCUUAACUCAGGAAGUGCAUUUGAAACUGUUCAGCUGGAGUAAGGGAGAGGAAAGUGGAAUUCCUGGUGUAGAGGUUAAAUUCGUAGAUAUCAGGAGGAACACCGGUGGCGAAGGCUACUUUCUGGCCCUAUACUGACGCUGAGACGCGAGAGCGUGGGUAGCAAACAG